UACGUGGUCUGAUCAUGGACGUUUCAAGGCAGCUCCUCAUUUCUGUUGGAAUUUUAACAGUGCAGUCAUGAUGAACAGCGGGUGUGCCCAGAACACGGCAGCUUCCGUCCUGGGAGAGCAGUGCCUGCGGACUCCUCACCAGGGCGGCUCUACUGCGAACACCUUCCUAUGUGAUGGGAGCUCUUAGCUGGCUGCCUCGUAGCAACCCUGAGAGUCACUUGAUUGGUUUGUGAUUUCCAGAAGUGUAACCAAUAAAUGUCCAACUCAAACUCGAAA